rnacentral:rRNA from 1 species
UAAGGGAUAUUGGUCAAUGGGGGGAAACCCGUGAACCAGCAACGCCGCGUGAGGGAAGACGGUUUUCGGAUUGUAAACCUCUGUCCUCUGUGAAGAUGAUGACGGUAGCAGAGGAGGAAGCUCCGGCUAACUACGUGCC